CUACGGGGUGCACCAGUGGGGAAUAUUGGACAAUGGGGGAAACCCUGAUCCAGCAAUGCCGCGUGUGUGAAGAAGGCCUGCGGGUUGUAAAGCACUUUCGGUUGGGAGGACUGCUUCUAGCACUAAUAUUGUUGGAAGUUGACGUUACCUUCAGAAGAAGCACCGGCGAACUCCGUGCCAGCAGCCGCGGUAAUACGGAGGGUGCAAGCUUUAAUCGGAAUUACUGGGCGUAAAGCGCGCGUAGGCGGCUAGAUCAGUCGGGUGUGAAAGCCCCGGGCUUAACCUGGGAACUGCAUCCGAUACUGUCUAGCUUGAGUACAGGAGAGGAGAGUGGAAUUCCACAUGUAGCGGUGAAAUGCGUAGAUAUGUGGAGGAACACCAAUGGCGAAGGCAGCUCUCUGGCCUGAUACUGACGCUGAGGUGCGAAAGCGUGGGGAGCAAACAGGAUUAGAUACCCCUGUAGUC
rnacentral:rRNA from 1 species